CUCCCCUAUUCAGGCGGACCCUCGGGGGUCUCCCCUAAACCACGGGCCCGGUUCUUUGUGCGUUUUCGGGGUCCCCGUCUCCACCCUUGUACCGUUCUAUGAGCUCCCGCUUUGUUUACUCCUGGGUCUGGGGGGGAAGGGAGGGCAACGGGGAGCCCCCCCUGACAGAAUGCUCCGGGACCCCUGUUUUCCCCGAUGAAGUAAAAACCCCAGGGAGUCAAACCUUUCACCCUUCUGCGGAUCUUGGUGAGACCCCUUUGUGUAUUUGUUUUCCCACCUGAGCGGUAAGAGGCUCCUCCCUCGGCUCCCGCCUUCAUCCUGCCGAAGUGACAGGGUAGCGGGAGGGAUGCGGGGGGAAGGAGGAAGCUCCCGCGCUCUCCUCCGUCCCGCCGCAGCCCGGCCGGGCAGGGCGGGAAGCGGGCCCACCGCGAGCGGUUUCCAGGGAAAACGCCGCCCCGGGUCCGCACGUGGCGGGGCGGGGAGAGGCGGCGGCGCGGGGUUAAUUAGCGCGGGCAGAAGUUGUGGUGCCACGGUGUCCUGGACUUGUGAGUCCCGGCGUGUCCCGGGUGGGAUAUGUCUAGUGAGGCGCUUCAUGCCUAUAACGGGAAGCGGGUAUGACGGGUGACUAGCUCGAAGUUUUCUGUGAGGUGGUACUUCCCCUCCCCCGGGGUGAUGGAAAGAUUUUGUUCCGAAUAGGUCGCCUCAGGCUGUAACUUCGCUGAUGGGUGUAACCUUUGAAGCCGCGUUACGUAAACUGCGAGGUGUGCGCAGUGCUCGAGUAGUGAAAGUGAAGCAUAGCUGUUACCUGACAGGAAAGGCACCGAAUGUGUGGUACAUUUCAGGAAAAGUGACUGCGAAGAUGAAUCUUCUUACAGCAGAUGAGUGAACUUAAAGCGUUCACCUAAGCUGAGUAAUGCAGGGCAGUGAGAUUUCUGCCUCAAAGGAGAUAAAGUGUGUAUCUUUACAAACAUGUGGAAGAAACUUAAAAAAUAGUAAUCUAACUGUUAACCAGGAGGCAAGCAUUGCUGGCUAGAUACUAAGCUUAGAUUUUUGAACCAAUAGCAAAUGACUAGAUUUUUGUGGUCUACAGAUCGGUGAGUGUGAGCACUUGUGAGGGCUGAUCUCUAAGGAACAUUAUGUCCAAAUAUGUGUUUUUGUGUAGGGGCCAAAUCAAGGAACAAGAGUCUUGAAGUUCUGUAACCUGCUUGGCUUUUUUCUGUGCUAGCACACUUCUUUGGGUAUAGAUGUUUAUAUGGGACAAACCCGAGGUUUUUACCCCAAAUUCUUUAUCUGAGAAUCAGGGAAGAUGAGUCUGUAAUGAGUUGUGCUUUUCUGUGUAGUCUGACAGUGGCCAGACCAAUUAGUGUGAACGUUUUAGUUAGCAGAUGUCUUGCUUGAGAAAACGGGAUAGUGAAAUAUUAUAGCUGAAAUUGCCUACAUAAGCAGCAUUUGUGAGUUUGGUACUUAGUAUAUCCAGUUUAGGACACAGUUGGGAUCAUGUUCAGUGAAGAGUUAGGGAAUUGUUUUUUAUAGUUUCACUCCCCGUAAAUGUUAAUUUUCUUGUAAUUACCAUAAUUAAUUCUGAAGUUUCCUUCUUGAUUAUGGGUUGCUUUCCUGUUUCCAUGGUGCUUAUAAGAAAAAAGGUCAGAAGGGUUGCUCUUGCACAAGUAAAACUGGAUAUUGAGAACGUGAAACUAAAUAACUUAAUUCUCUUAGGGCUAUGAUAAAAUAAAAUAAUAUUUAUUUUAAUAUUAAGAAUAAAAAAGGUUACUUUAGUUAGAUGUGAGAUGAACAGAAAGCAGUGAAAUGAGGUGAAAUCUUUUAAAGCCCCUGAAGAUUGCUCUGUGUGUUGUAAAAAAUACUAUCUGGGCAAAAUCCUUUUCUUAUUUGGUUAGCGCUCUGUAUGAUUAAAUCUGUACAGUCUGCUAGUAGAACUGUGAUCCCGUUACUAAAUACUACUUACUGUAGUCUCUCCAGAAACUUCUAGAAACUCUUGGAUCUUGCAAGUGGUGAGAUGCCUGGCUAAUGUCCUCCUGAAAAUGGGAGGUAUAUGAGGUUAUAAGGAUGUAGAAACUUAAGUGAGUCAUUGUUUAUGGGCUGAAUUUCAACAGCAUCACGUUCUUAGCUUGCAGCAGAGAACAAUUUCAGCUAAGAUUUUGAGCUGGAGCCAUUAUUUUGCAGUUUUUUUAGGAGUAUUUGUGUCCAGUUAAUGUGCUAUAUUAUAGUUCGCUGUUGUGUGGUCUUCAAAGACAAAUGCAAGCACUUAAGUGGUCAGAACUUCUCAUUUCUGUUUUUAAGGGUUAAAACACCCUAGAACUACUGGAGGAAAUCUAGGGUUGUCAUUAAGUACUUUCUAUUACUGUCGUGUUGGUGUAGUACUUUGUAUUAUAUUGGGUUUUUUUCUUGUAAAUGCCAGGAGUACUACUAAUGCCAGCACUACUUUGUUGAAUGGGCUGGCGUCUUUUCUUUCACUGCCAGGAGGACCUACCAUUCACAUGUGACACCGAAGGUUGACCAAGCAAUAUCUACUGUUUGUGGAAGAUAAGAACUAAUGUCUUUUGUUGGCUUCUCUCAUCCCAUCCCACCCUGCUGGAAUUUGAGUUUGGUGAAAGUUUGUAUAUGAUUGCUGUUAAAAAAAUCCAUUAUCUCAGUAUCCUUUCCAUAGUGCUUACCAAAGCAGGGGAAAAAAGACAUUGGAGCCCAGAGGUUUCUUUGACAGUAUAUAUAGGAGUCAGUGACUGAAACAACUUCUGUGGUCAUUAACCUUAUUGGUGAGGAAACCACUCCUAACCUGUUUCAUGGGAGACUGAAGUCAGCGGGAGGAGGUGUCCUCACAAGCUGCAGAUAGCCAUUUGCUCUCGCUGGCACCACUGUUGCUGAACAUCACUUGCCUUUGCUAUAGGAGCCCAUAC